rnacentral:lncRNA from 1 species
CUCGUCAAACAUCACACAUUCAUCUCAGUACAUAAAUAGAGGAGCAGAAGUUAAGGUGGUGUUGGGUUUGUGGUAAUGAUGCCGGUAUUAUGACUCGAGAAGGCAGAAGACCGGUGUAUGCCGUCAGGCACACGUGUUCCAUCGGAAUUGCCAUGGCUGAAACUGAGGACUUCCUGGCAUGGCUGCAGGCUCAAGGUCUGAGAGCAGAGACUGCAUUUGGUGUGAUUACUGAACUGGGCAUUGAGAGUCAAACGGUGCUUCGUAUCUGCACAGAGUCUGCUUUGUUGAGAUCUGAACUAUACUCACUCCUCAAGGAGAAGUUUGCCUUUGCCAUGUACGCUGAGGUUCGGUGUUUUGUGGAGUCACAGUAUCAUUGCCAAGGUCAUGGUCUUGCAAAUUUGGUACUGGUGGAUGUCCUGUGCUCCAUGUUGAAUGCUGUCAGCCAGGAGUUCACUAACUGUGCGCAGAGGUUAAGGUACUUGGGCCUUCACUCAGAUGAUGCCGAUAGUGAUGGCUUGGAGCAAAAGAGUACUGCUGAGAACUUUAGCAGUACGAGUGAGAACAUCUGCACCUUUCAUCCUCAACAGGAGAUGAGUGUGACAUCUGAACCCAGUAUGGUAGAGAUGAAGAUUGAACAUGAAGAUGAUGAAGGUAGUGUUCACGAUCCUCAGUCACAGCAUUAUUGUUGUUGGCCCAUGAUGGAAAUUGUUUUUGUUUUUGUAGACUGCUGGAGUUAUCUGGAUGUUUUUCUUGAGUCUUACCUUGGUUAGCCUCACCCUUGUAAACCGAACAUUUGGAUAACCCCCACCCUCCUCCUUCCCCAUGAUUAUGGUUGAUGAUGCACAUUUUAAUUGUGGAUUUUAAAGUGGAAUAUAUCCUUUGAGAUGUGGUUCGCGUUGUGGGGUUUUCCAUGCUUCCCAGGGCUCUGUGGAGAGAUGCAGCUCGAGGUCGAAGGAACAAACGGUUCAACUUGUACCUCAAAAGGCAAGCUCUUUGCUUUUGUACAACAUUAUUCUUCUGACAUUGUAUAACAUGGCAGAAAAACUGUGUUUAUAAUCCAUUAAUUAUUUUUGC